GACGAACGCUGGCGGCGUGCUUAACACAUGCAAGUCGAACGGAAAGGCCCUGCUUUUGUGGGGUGCUCGAGUGGCGAACGGGUGAGUAGCACGUGAGUAACCUGCCCUUGACUUUGGGAUAACUUCAGGAAACUGGGGCUAAUACCGGAUAGGAGCUCCUGCUGCAUGGUGGGGGUUGGAAAGUUUCGGCGGUUGGGGAUGGACUCGCGGCUUAUCAGCUUGUUGGUGGGGUAGUGGCUUACCAAGGCUUUGACGGGUAGCCGGCCUGAGAGGGUGACCGGCCACAUUGGGACUGAGAUACGGCCCAGACUCCUACGGGAGGCAGCAGUGGGGAAUAUUGCACAAUGGGCGGAAGCCUGAUGCAGCAACGCCGCGUGCGGGAUGACGGCCUUCGGGUUGUAAACCGCUUUCGCCUGUGACGAAGCGCGAGUGACGGUAAUGGGUAAAGAAGCACCGGCUAACUACGUG
rnacentral:rRNA from 1 species